rnacentral:tRNA from 1 species
AAAUAAGAAACAAUUAUUGUUAUUAGUUUCGACCUAAUCCUUUGAUGAAAUAACUCAUCCUUAUUUU